rnacentral:tRNA from 1 species
GGAGCAGCCAGGUAGCUCGUCGGGCUCAUAACCCGAAGGUCGUCGGUUCAAAUCCGGCC